GCGAGUCACGUCACUCCUUCACUACAAUGGCGACGAGCGUUUGAACCCCGUCUGAUGUAGUUCCCGGGGGAUAACCAGCCACGCUUCCCAGAUGGCUUUCGCCGGCAUCGCCCCACCGGAUCUGUUCCUUCCGACACCGGGUGGCCCCGUGCCGCCAUGGUCCCGAUGGCACGACAUGUUCAAGGUCUACCUGCUGGCUUACGGCGGCCGAAAAGACAGAGGAGGAAGAAGGGACCGGAGCUACGCCCGACGUGUAUGACUCCGCGGUAGCGGCACUGGCUAAGCACUUCGAUACCACCUGCAACCUGGUCGUAGAGCGCCACCGAUUUCACCGUCGAAUUCAGUUCCCAG